rnacentral:lncRNA from 10 species
UCAUGGAACCCCAGUGGAGAGCUCAUUCUCAUGUUCAGGAGGAAGAUACUGCUUACAGCCAAAGAACAGAUUUGUAAAAGAAGGCAGAGGAGUCCUUUUUGGAGGUAGCAGAGCCUAGUGGCUGAGAACAUGACAUCUGGACCAAGACUGCUCAGAAUCCUGAUUUUAUUUGGUGUGUUAUUAUGUCCAGUUAACAAACACAAGCAAAAUCUGACUUCUCAGACAGCUAUGGGUGGUCAUGGGAGCUUCCCAUCCCAUGUGGAAGACAAUGCCUGGAGCAGAGAAGGCAUCUUGCUCUUUGCUUUCUCCUUAUCUCUUUUCUUCCUGCUUGAUCAUAUGUCAUGCUUGGAGAUGCAGCAGUCAUCUUACCAUCAGUAAGAAGAAAGCUGCAUGUUAAGAAUUGUGGAGCUGUAAGAUGGAAGAAGCUUGAAUCCUAGGGCCUUCCUUGAUUUGCUGCA